rnacentral:lncRNA from 1 species
UGCGUAUCCUGUCUCCACCCCAACUGCCGCUGGGUUUGAACUGCCGGCUGGACCACUCACCAGAAUGGGAGGCAGCCUCUGCUGCUGUGGUGAAGGUUGUUGCCCCGAUGAACCGGAAUCCACGCACAGAUUUAGAGCGCAUAUGCGCCGUGAUCCUGAUUUGCCCCCUGAAGGUCAGCUAUAUACAGACUACCACCAGGAGUGGCAGUGGCCCUCGGUGACUUCCUGGGACCUGAUCCGGGCAGCACACUCGACGUUCUCAGCAAUUCAGGAAUACAUGGCAAGAUAUUCUCUCUCGAAGAAACUCCGCAGGAAAACCAGAGAUGAAGAUGCCGCCCGAAAAGUGCAGGCAGAGGAACAGGCCGAGGAGAAAGAUUCCACCGAGGAUCUGAAGGUGGAACUUUCGAAGAAGAAAAAAACUCCAUGGAAAGUGAAGGAGGCCUGGAGAGAGCAGGAGAGUGUGACGGAGUCCAGUGUGGUGUCCGCAGAAGUGGCCCUAGCUCUUUGUGAGCAAACAGGAGUAGGACCUCCCAGGAAAGGACGUUUCAAGUUUCUUGCAGCAGAGCUUCCUAGCGAGAAGUCCACAGAGAAAGUCGUGGCCGUUGUCAAUAGGGACUCAGCGCUUUGGGCAAGCGGUCCCAUGGAGGGUCCCGUGGAAAAAUUCAUCUAUGAAUCAGAUGAGGAGGCCCCACGACAGUGGCAGGUCAGGCCACCUGCUGUUGUCACAGAAAAAGCCGGCGGACUGCCUGAAGAAAAAGGUUGCAAGGAGGAGUCCCUGGAAGACAGCAACAAAGGCUCAGCUGAGGAUGUUCCCCAGCAUUUGAAGGUUACCUGCGCAGACCAGGAGAAUGGAAGCUAUAAGGACAGCAACUUUUCUGAAACCCAUCAUGACAAAGACUCUGCAAGUGGUGGAGAUGCUUCAGCUUCUGGAGCAGAUACGGAAGAGCCCAAGUGUGCAGACGGCCGUCAGCAUAUACCAACAAGUCCUCUCCCGGAACCUGAAGAAAAAGCAAUAGAGACAAACCCUGAACAGGCAGAAGAAAUAAAACCUAGUGAGCUCGAGGAGGAUGAGGAUGCUGAAGAGCCUGACCUGACCUGUUGUGACCUUUGUAUUUGAUGGUGGAAAUCCCUAAAGGCAAAUGAAAACCGCAGUUUAAACUCUAAGUUUCAACCAGAAUCUAACAGCUCCUGGAUUUCCCGUGGCUCACACUCUUCAGAAACAACUCACAAAGAGCCUGAGGAAGCAGCUCUCCCUUAUCAGUGGGCCAGUUUAUUUGUCCAUCCCUGGGACUA